rnacentral:rRNA from 1 species
UACAGAGACUGCAAGCGUUAUUCGGAUUCACUGGGCGUAAAGGGUGCGCAGGCGGUCGGGUGUGUCAGAUGUGAAAUCCCGAGGCUCAACCUCGGAACUGCGUCUGAAACUACUCGACUAGAGUACUGGAGAGGGUAACGGAAUUCACGGUGUAGCAGUGAAAUGCGUAGAUAUCGUGAGGAACACCAGAGGCGAAGGCGGUUACCUGGGCAGUUACUGACGCUCAGGCACGAAAGCAUGGGGAGCAAAAGGG